GCGAAGAAGUGCUGGAGAAGAAGGACAUGAUAAUAUCUCGACUAAAAAGUGAAAUUUUGGAGAGGGAUUGCUGGUACCAACAAACCCUUGAUGAGCAAUGGGAGGAAUUAAAGGUUGCGGCACAAAGAGUGGACCAGCAAGUAGAGGAAUUGCAGCAAACGCACAGGGAUGAGCUAUCUCUGCUUGAGGCAGUAACCUCAAAAUGUAGAGCAGACCAAAUUGAUCUAGGCUGCAGUCGAUGGGAAGAUUUGUGGGAAAAUCUACGGCGAAUGCUUAGUUUCACGGCGAGUGAAAGGGAACAGUUGCGCGAAGAUCUGGCGUUGGAUGAGGAUCUUUUGCACGACAGACUCGCGCAAUGUUUGCAUGAAGUACGACUUAAACUUCAAAAGCAAUCGCAGGACUUGGGACUCCAACUGCAAGAGCUCAAAGCUUCGUGCAUUCUGAACGCUGAAAAAAUCAAGCUUAAUAUUGAAAUCCUAAAAGAGAGGGACCAAGAAGCGAAAGUAUUGCGCGCGAAUCAGAAGAAAAAGAU